GGUGAAGACAGCCCUGGGGUCAGAAGAACUACGAAGGAAAAUAGAAAGGGAAAGGGAAUACCCUCUAGGAUCCCGUAAACGCUGGCAAGCUUCCCGCUCUCCUGCUGUGGGUAUUUUAUCUUCCCAGCGGGGUUCCGUCUCGAAACUUACAACUCUUUGUCAGCUAAAACUUGAGGGCCGGUGUAGUUGGGAUUUAGAAUUUUCCGCAGGAGAAGGUAUGAGCAGAGCAUCAAACUCCGGGGUUGAGGAAAGCUGGGGUGGGUCUGGCCCUGCAUGUACCCUCAAACUAGGAAGACACACGUGACAGUCCCGGGGCCCUUUCUAUUCCAUAAAGAGGUCAACCCUAAGACCUUCCAAAAUAAAUCUGACCAAAUUAAAUCUGAGGCUUCCUAAAAACUUGUUGCCUGCUCCAGGUGUUUGAGCUUUGUGCUGGGCAUCAGCUCGAGUCCCUGCCUUCUGCGUAAUCAACUUAGUCGGUCCAGGAGGAAGUCCAAACUGAAGGCUUUCUGUCUCCCAGCUUUAGGGUGCCCUGCUGGAUGGAGAUGGAGUAUGAACACCGAGCAUGGGCUGACAAAAGUUUUUGGAUGGGAACCUGCAGACUCGAAGUCAUACGGACCAGCUCACAAGCACAGGAUUCUCAGAAGACAGAGGGAAAGCCUUCCCUUGCUGCUUCCUAAGGCUGCUCUGGAAUGCUACCCUGAGAUAAUGUUUCCUCUGCUGCCACCUUGUGGAAUUUUAAUAGUAUCAGAUUUAUUUAACAGAACCAACCCAGCAAUUGCAACCACCAG